CUGCAGUCCCUGAGCCCGCAGAGACAGAGAGAGCCCUGGCCCGAGUGGCCUUUGGCACCUUGUCCUGAAUUUGGGAUGCUGGAAUUGCCUCUCUGGGUGUGUGCUGAGUUCUGGCUGCAGGGGACUGUCAGGCCUUGGUGGCUCCUCCUUGCAGCUCCCAGCUGGGGGAACCUGGGAUAACUUAAGAGGGACAAAGAUGAGGGUUUUAUCUGCAAACUUGGGGUAAUUUCUAGGGGAUAUAGCAACUGUUUAUGUAGGAAGGUGUGUUUAACCACAUUGGCCCAAGUUGUGUUUGCACCAGCUGGGGCCAGAGAUGCAAGGCAAUCCAAAGCAAACCCUGCUCAGCCUCCAAAUCCCAGGGGAAGUUCUCCAAGCUGCUCCUUGAGGGACUAAAGAUCCAUUAAAAUGGACCCAAGAGCACUAA